CAGCAGCCCGCGGUAAUACAGAGGGUGCGAGCGUUAAUCGGAUUUACUGGGCGUAAAGCGUGCGUAGGCGGCUUCUUAAGUCGGAUGUGAAAUCCCUGAGCUUAACUUAGGAAUUGCAUUCGAUACUGGGAAGCUAGAGUAUGGGAGAGGAUGGUAGAAUUCCAGGUGUAGCGGUGAAAUGCGUAGAGAUCUGGAGGAAUACCGAUGGCGAAGGCAGCCAUCUGGCCUAAUACUGACGCUGAGGUACGAAAGCAUGGGGAGCAAACAGGAUUAGAUACCCCCGUAGUCCCUGUCUCUUAUA
rnacentral:rRNA from 1 species